AACGAACGCUGGCGGCAUGCCUAACACAUGCAAGUCGAACGAUACCUUCGGGUCUAGUGGCGCACGGGUUCGUAACGCGUGGGAACCUGCCCUUAGGUUCGGAAUAACUCCCUGAAAUGGGUGCUAAUACCGGAUAAUGUCACCGGACCAAAGUUUUAUCGCCUUGGGAUGGGCCCGCGUUGGUUUAGCUGGUUGGUAGGGUAAAAGCCGGCGAAGGCGAGGAUCCUUAGCUAGUCGGAGAGGAGGAACAGCCACACUGGGACUGAGACACGGCCCAGACUCGUACGAGAGGCAGGAGUGAGGAAUAUUGGACCAGGGGCGAGAGGCUGAUACAGCGCUGGCGCGUGAGUGAUGAAGGGGUUAGAGUUGUAAAGCUCUUUUGAACGGGAUGAUAGUGACGGUACCGGGAGAAUAAGCGCCGGCUAACUACGUG
rnacentral:rRNA from 1 species